rnacentral:rRNA from 1 species
AGGAGGAAUCCCCGGCUAACUACGUGCCAGCAGCCGCGGUAAUACGUAGGGGGCCAGCGUCUUCCGGAAUUACUGGGCGUAAAGGGUGCGUAGGUGGUUUUUUAAGUCAGAAGUGAAAGGCUACGGCUCAACCGUAGUAAGCUUUUGAAACUAGAGAACCUGAGUGCAGGAGAGGAGAGUAGAAUUCCUAGUGUAGCGGUGAAAUGCGUAGAUAUUAGGAGGAAUACCAGUAGCGAAGGCGGCUCUCUGGACUGUAACUGACACUGAGGCACGAAAGCGUGGGGAGCAAACAGGAUUAGAUACCCUGGUAGUCCACGCCGUAAACGAUGAGUACUAGGUGUCGGGGGUUACCCCCCUCGGUGCCGCAGCUAACGCACUAAGUACUCCCGCCUGGGAAGUACGCCUCGCAAGAG